rnacentral:rRNA from 1 species
UUCUAGUCAAUAGACUUCAUACGAGGUGCUGCAUGGCUGUCGUCAGCUCGUGCCGUGAGGUGGUUGGUUAAAGUCCUGCAACGAGCGCAACCCCUGUUUCCAGUUGCCAUCAAGUAAAGUUGGGGACUCUGGAGAGACUGCCUGCGCAAGCAGAGAGGAAGGUGGGGAUGACGUCAAGUCAGCACGGCCCUUACGUCCAGGGCUACACACGUGCUACAAUGGCCGGUACAGAGGGCAGCGACCUGGUGACAGGUAGCGAAUCUCCAAAGCCGGUCUCAGUUCGGAUCGGAGUCUGCAACUCGACUCCGUGAAGCUGGAUUCGCUAGUAAUCGGAUAUCAGCAAUGAUCCGGUGAAUACGUUCCCGGGCCUU